rnacentral:rRNA from 1 species
UAAGCACUUUAUACUGUGAAACUGCGAAUGGCUCAUUAAAUCAGUUAUCGUUUAUUUGAUAGUACCUUACUACAUGGAUACCUGUGGUAAUUCUAGAGCUAAUACAUGCUAAAAACCCCGACUUCGGAAGGGGUGUAUUUAUUAGAUAAAAAACCAAUGCCCUUCGGGGCUCCUUGGUGAUUCAUAAUAACUUAACGAAUCGCAUGGCCUUGCGCCGGCGAUGGUUCAUUCAAAUUUCUGCCCUAUCAACUUUCGAUGGUAGGAUAGUGGCCUACCAUGGUGGCAACGGGUAACGGGGAAUUAGGGUUCGAUUCCGGAGAGGGAGCCUGAGAAACGGCUACCACAUCCAAGGAAGGCAGCAGGCGCGCAAAUUACCCAAUCCCGACACGGGGAGGUAGUGACAAUAAAUACUGAUACGGGGCUCUUUCGGGUCUCGUAAUUGGAAUGAGUACAAUCUAAAUCCCUUAACGAGGAACAAUUGGAGGGCAAGUCUGGUGCCAGCAGCCGCGGUAAUUCCAGCUCCAAUAGCGUAUAUUAAAGUUGUUGCAGUUAAAAAGCUCGUAGUUGAACCUUGGGUCUGGCUGGCCGGUCCGCCUCACCGCGAGUACUGGUCCGGCUGGACCUUUCCUUCUGGGGAAUCCCAUGGCCUUCACUGGCUGUGGGGGGAACCAGGACUUUUACUGUGAAAAAAUUAGAGUGUUCAAAGCAGGCCUUUGCUCGAAUACAUUAGCAUGGAAUAAUAGAAUAGGACGUGCGGUUCUAUUUUGUUGGUUUCUAGGACCGCCGUAAUGAUUAAUAGGGAUAGUCGGGGGCGUCAGUAUUCAGCUGUCAGAGGUGAAAUUCUUGGAUUUGCUGAAGACUAACUACUGCGAAAGCAUUCGCCAAGGAUGUUUUCAUUAAUCAGGAACGAAAGUUAGGGGAUCGAAGACGAUCAGAUACCGUC